rnacentral:rRNA from 1 species
AUUGAACGCUUGCGGCAUGCUUUACACAUGCAAGUCGAACGGCAGCGCGGGCUUCGGCCUGGCGGCGAGUGGCGAACGGGUGAGUAAUGCAUCGGAACGUGCCCAGUAGUGGGGGAUAGCCCGGCGAAAGCCGGAUUAAUACCGCAUACGACCUGAGGGUGAAAGCGGGGGACCGAAAGGCCUCGCGCUAUUGGAGCGGCCGAUGUCGGAUUAGCUAGUUGGUGGGGUAAAGGCUUACCAAGGCGACGAUCCGUAGCUGGUCUGAGAGGACGACCAGCCACACUGGGACUGAGACACGGCCCAGACUCCUACGGGAGGCAGCAGUGGGGAAUUUUGGACAAUGGGGGCAACCCUGAUCCAGCCAUGCCGCGUGCGGGAAGAAGGCCUUCGGGUUGUAAACCGCUUUUGUUCGGGAAGAAAUCCUCUGGGCUAAUACCCCGGGGGGAUGACGGUACCGGAAGAAUAAGCACCGGCUAACUACGU